UACGGAGGGGGCUAGCGUUGUUCGGAAUUACUGGGCGUAAAGCGUACGUAGGCGGAUCAGAAAGUAAGGGGUGAAAUCCCGAGGCUCAACCUCGGAACUGCCUCUUAAACUCCUGGUCUUGAGUUCGAGAGAGGUGAGUGGAAUUCCAAGUGUAGAGGUGAAAUUCGUAGAUAUUUGGAGGAACACCAGUGGCGAAGGCGGCUCACUGGCUCGAUACUGACGCUGAGGUACGAAAGUGUGGGGAGCAAACAGGAUUAGAUACCCCUGUA
rnacentral:rRNA from 1 species